rnacentral:rRNA from 1 species
GUGCCAGCCGCCGCGGUAAUACGUAGGGAGCGAGCGUUGUCCGGAAUUACUGGGUGUAAAGGGUGCGUAGGCGGGACAGCAAGUCAGGCGUGAAAUACCGGGGCUUAACUUCGGGGCUGCGCUUGAAACUGUUGUUCUUGAGUGAAGUAGAGGCAGGCGGAAUUCCUAGUGUAGCGGUGAAAUGCGUAGAUAUUAGGAGGAACACCAGUGGCGAAGGCGGCCUGCUGGGCUUUAACUGACGCUGAGGCACGAAAGCAUGGGGAGCAAACAGGAUUAGAUACCCUGGUAGUCCAUGCCGUAAACGAUGAUAGCUAGGUGUGGGGGGACUGACCCCUUCCGUGCCGGAGUUAACACAAUAAGCUAUCCACCUGGGGAGUACGACCGCAAGGUUAAAACUCAAAUAAAUUGACGG